rnacentral:rRNA from 1 species
AUUGAACGCUGGCGGCAUGCCUUACACAUGCAAGUCGAACGGCAGCACGGGAGCAAUCCUGGUGGCGAGUGGCGAGCGGGUGAGUAAAGUAUCGGAACGUGCCCAGUCGUGGGGGAUAACGUAGCGAAAGUUACGCUAAUACCGCAUACGAUCUAUGGAUGAAAGCGGGGGAUCGCAAGACCUCGCGCGAUUGGAGCGGCCGAUAUCAGAUUAGGUAGUUGGUGGGGUAAAGGCUCACCAAGCCGACGAUCUGUAGCUGGUCUGAGAGGACGACAGGCCACACUGGGACUGAGACACGGCCCAGACUCCUACGGGAGGCAGCAGUGGGGAAUUUUGGACAACGGGCGAAAGCCUGAUUCAGCCAUGCCGCGUGCAGGAUGAAGGCCUUCGGGUUGUAAACUGCUUUUGUACGGAACGAAAAGGUUUGGCCUAAUAAGCUGAGCUCAUGACGGUACCGUAAGAAUAAGCACCGGCUAACUACGUGCCAGCCGCCGCCGUAA